GAUGAACGCUGGCGGCGUGCCUAAUACAUGCAAGUCGAGCGAACGGACGAGAAGCUUGCUUCUCUGAUGUUAGCGGCGGACGGGUGAGUAACACGUGGAUAACCUACCUAUAAGACUGGGAUAACUUCGGGAAACCGGAGCUAAUACCGGAUAAUAUUUUGAACCGCAUGGUUCAAAAGUGAAAGACGGUCUUGCUGUCACUUAUAGAUGGAUCCGCGCUGCAUUAGCUAGUUGGUAAGGUAACGGCUUACCAAGGCAACGAUGCAUAGCCGACCUGAGAGGGUGAGCGGCCACACUGGAACUGAGACCCGGUCCAGACUCCUACGGGAGGCAGCAGUAGGGAAUCUUCCGCAAUGGGCGAAAGCCUGACGGAGCAACGCCGCGUGAGUGAUGAAGGUCUUCGGAUCGUAAAACUCUGUUAUUAGGGAAGAACAUAUGUGUAAGUAACUGUGCACAUCUUGACGGUACCUAAUCAGAAAGCCACGGCUAACUACG
rnacentral:rRNA from 1 species